rnacentral:rRNA from 1 species
GGUGAACGCUGGCGGCGUGCUUAAGACAUGCAAGUCGAACGCAGUCUUCGGACUGAGUGGCGCACGGGUGAGUAACACGUAACUGACCUACCCCCAAGUCGCGGAUAACUGGCCGAAAGGUCGGCUAAUACGUGAUGUGAUGUCCCCUUUCUGGGGGGCCAUUAAAGGUUUACUGCUUGGGGAUGGGGUUGCGUUCCAUCAGCUAGUUGGCGGGGUAAAGGCCCACCAAGGCAACGACGGAUAGCCGGCCUGAGAGGAUGGCCGGCCACAGGGGCACUGAGACACGGGUCCCACUCCUACGGGAGGCAGCAGUUAGGAAUCUUCCACAAUGGGCGAAAGCCUGAUGGAGCGACGCCGCGUGAGGGAUGAAGGUUCUCGGAUCGUAAACCUCUGAAUCAGGGACGAAAGACGCGUAAGCGGGAUGACGGUACCUGAGUAAUAGCACCGGCUAACUCCGUGCCAGCAGCCGCCGUAA